rnacentral:rRNA from 1 species
AAGACCUUGUGCUUUUGGAGCGGCCGAUGCCUGAUUAGCUAGUUGGUGAGGUAAAGGCUCACCAAGGCGACGAUCAGUAGCUGGUCUGAGAGGAUGAUCAGCCACACUGGAACUGAGACACGGUCCAGACUCCUACGGGAGGCAGCAGUGGGGAAUUUUGGACAAUGGGGGCAACCCUGAUCCAGCCAUUCCGCGUGAGUGAAGAAGGCCUUCGGGUUGUAAAGCUCUUUCAGCAGGGAAGAAACGGUUACGGCUAAUACCUGUGACUAAUGACGGUACCUGCAGAAGAAGCACCGGCUAACUACGUGCCAGCAGCCGCGGUAAUACGUAGGGUGCGAGCGUUAAUUGGAAUUACUGGGCGUAAAGCGUGCGCAGGCGGUUUUGUAAGUCAGAUGUGAAAGCCCCGGGCUCAACCUGGGAAUU